rnacentral:rRNA from 1 species
AGGGCGUACGGUGGAUGCCUAGGCACUAAGAGGCGAAGAAGGACGUGGUAAGCUGCGAUAAGCUUCGGGGAGCUGCAUACGAGCGAUAAUCCGAAGAUUUCCGAAUGGGACAACCCGAUAUGUUGAAGGCAUAUCAUUCUGUAGAGAUACAGGAGGCUAACCCGGGGAACUGAAACAUCUAAGUACCCGGAGGAAAAGAAAAUAAAAAUGAUUCCCCGAGUAGUGGCGAGCGAAAAGGGAAGAGCCCAAACCAUAAGAGCGUGCUUUUAUGGGGUUGUAGGACUACGAUAUUGUACAGUAUUAACGAAGCUGAAUUAUUUGGAAAGGUAAGCCAUAGGAGGUGAAAGCCCUGUAGGCGUAAGUUGUACUGACAUAGUAGUAUCCUGAGUAGGGCGGGACCAGAGGAAUCCUGUCUGAAUCAGCCGGUACCAUCCGGUAAGGCUAAAUACUCCUUAGUGACCGAUAGUGAACCAGUACCGUAAGGGAAAGGUGAAAAGUACUGCGAGUAGCAGAGUGAAAUAGUACCUGAAACCGUACGCUUACAAGCGGUCGGAGCCCUUCGGGGUGACGGCGUGCCUUUUGCAUAAUGAUCCUACGAGUUGCUACUUACUGGCGAGGUUAAUUCCGUAACGGGAGGAGCCGUAGCGAAAGCGAGUCCGAAUAGGGCGCUGAGUCAGUAGGUGCAGACGCGAAACUUUGUGAUCUAUCCAUGGGCAGGUUGAAGGUUAGGUAAAACUAACUGGAGGACCGAACUCAUUAACGUUGAAAAGUUAUGGGAUGACCUGUGGAUAGGGGUGAAAGGCCAAUCAAACUGAGAGAUAGCUCGUUCUCCCCGAAAUGUUUUUAGGAACAGCGUCACAUAUAGAAGUAUGAUAGAGGUAGAGCUACUGAUUGGGCUAGGGGGCUUCACCGCCUACCAAACCCUGACAAACUCCGAAUGCUGAUAAAUAUCUGCGGCAGUGAGGCUGUGGGCGCUAAGGUCCAUGGCCGAGAGGGAAAUAACCCAGACUAUCAUCUAAGGUCCCUAAAUCUAUGUUAAGUUGAACAAACGCAGUUUGAUCCCUAAGACAGCCAGGAUGUUGGCUUGGAAGCAGCCAUUCAUUUAAAGAGUGCGUAACAGCUCACUGGUCGAGGGGUCGGGCACGGAAAAUGAUCGGGCAUCAAACAUAGUACCGAAGAUAUAGAUCACGCGCAAGCGUGGUGGUAGGGGAGCAUUCCAAACAGCGAUGAAGGUGUAUCGUGAGAUAUGCUGGAGCGUUUGGAAAAGAAAAUGUAGGAAUGAGUAACGAUAAUUCCGAUGAGAAAUCGGAACGCCGAAAGACUAAGGGUUCCUGAUCAACGUUAAUCGGAUCAGGGUUAGUCGGGUCCUUAGGCGUACCCGAAAGGGGAAGCUGAUGGGAAACUGGUUAAUAUUCCAGUACUUUCUUUAAUUUCGAUGGGGUAACAGAGGAGUGAAAGGUCCGCGUACUUACGGAAUAGUACGUUAAAGGGUGUAGUUAUAGGGUGUGUAGGUAAAUCCGCAUACUUUGACGAACCUGAUAGUACCAGAAGGCUUCGGCUGGAUGGAUAGUGACCCUAAUCAUACUCGCGAGAAAAACCUCUAAGGUUAGGUUAAAGAGACCCGUACCGUAAACCGACACAGGUAGUCGGGAAGAAUAUUCUCAGGCGCUCGGGUGAGCCGUGGAGAAGGAACUAGGCAAAUUGUGGCUGUAACUUCGGGAUAAAGCCAUCCAUAGCGAUAUGGACUCAGUGAAAUGGUUCAACCAACUGUUUAGCAAAAACAUAGGGCCCUGCCAAAUCGAAAGAUGACGUAUAGAGCCUGAUACCUGCCCGGUGCUGGAAGGUUAAGGGAGCUUGUUCGGAGCAAUCCAAAGCUUGUGACCGAAGCCCCAGUAAACGGCGGCCGUAACUAUAACGGUCCUAAGGUAGCGAAAUUCCUUGUCGGGUAAGUUCCGACCUGCACGAAUGGUCUAAUGAGUUGAACACUGUCUCCUCCACGAGCCCGGUGAAAUUGUAGUAUCGGUGAAGAUGCCGGUUACCCGCCACGGGACGGAAAGACCCCGUGAACCUUCACUACAACUUUGCAUUGAUUUUGAAUACCAGAUGUGUAGCAUAGUUGGGAGACUUUGAAGCAGGUACGCCAGUAUUUGUGGAGUCACCGUUGAAAUACCAACCUUCUGUUAUUUAGAGUCUAAUCCCUGUAAGGGGAGACAUUGCAUGGUGGGUAGUUUGACUGGGGUGGUCGCCUCCUAAAGCGUAACGGAGGCUUGCAAAGGUACCCUCAGCAUGGUUAGUAAUCAUGCGUAGAGCGCAUUAGUAAAAGGGUGCUUGACUGUGAGGCAGACAAGCCGAACAGGGACGAAAGUCGGCUAAAGUGAUCCGGCGGUUCUGUAUGGAAGGGCCGUCGCUCAAAGGAUAAAAGGUACUCCGGGGAUAACA